rnacentral:rRNA from 1 species
AUUGAACGCUGGCGGCAGGCCUAACACAUGCAAGUCGAACGAGUGGCGGACGGGUGAAUAAUGUAUGGAAAACUGCCAUAUGGAGGGGGAUAACUACUGGAACCGGUAGCUAAUACCGCAAACCAUCGGAUGUGCCCAGGUGGGAUUAGCUAGUAGGUGGGGUAACGGCUCACCUAGGCGACGAUCCCUAGCUGGUCUGAGAGGAUGACCAGCCACACUGGAACUGAGACACGGUCCAGACUCCUACGGGAGGCAGCAGUGGGGAAUAUUGCACAAUGGGCGCAAGCCUGAUGCAGCCAUGCCGCGUGUAUGAAGAAGGCCUUCGGGUUGUAAAGUACUGUCAGCGAGGAGGCGUUACUCGCAGAAGAAGCACCGGCUAACUCCGUGCCAGCAGCCGCGGUAAUUC